CGAUGGCAUCACGCCCAGUGCCAGGAGAUGUCAUCACGUGCUACCUUGUUCCAUGAUGUCAUACUCCAGCACCGCACUUGUCCGUCG
rnacentral:pre_miRNA from 1 species